rnacentral:lncRNA from 1 species
UGCCAGCACUUGGGAGGCAGAGGCAGGGUGAAUCUUUGAGUUCAAGGCCAGCCAGGGCUACACAGAGAAACCAUAGAACAAAAUAAACAAAACGAAAACCUAAUCUUUCUAGAAAAACGAACAUAAUUUUAGAUACUUUAAGUGUCAAAAGUCAAAAGCAAUUAGUGAAAAAAACCGAACGAUUCAUAUAUUUUUAUAAGCACUACUUCAUGAGUUUGAAAGUUUUUCUAUUUUAGUCAUUUAUUCUUAAGAGUUGUUUCAUUGAUUGUUUUAAUUUUAAAAUAACACAUGCAUACUUCAAAUAUUUGUAUGUGUGUGUAUGUACCUCUGUGUGUGUGCAUCACAUGCAUGCAGGAACUGUUGGAGGUCAGAAGGGACAUUGGGUCCCCUAGAACUAGAGUCACAAAUGAUACAGAUGAUUGUUAGCCACUGUGUGAGUGUUGAGAACUGACCUGGGUCCUGGGUACGAACAGUAACUGCUCUUCACUGCUGAGUCAUUUCUUUAGCCACCCUGUUUGUCUAUCUGUCUGUCUUGUCUGUCUUAGUGUGGCAAUGUCUGUCAGAGUAGGCCUGAAUAAAAGUAAUUUUAACUGUGUAAUAGGCAAGCCAGAAAUGAGAUGAUUUUAGGAAUAAGAAGGUUAUGUUGCUGUCUAAACUACAUGAAUAUAAAACAGUUUAUGACCCCAACUAUAAUAUAUUGAUUUAUUUGGAAUUGUCUCUGGAGCACUGUGAUAGUUUGAAUAAGAAAUGCCCCUCUUUGGCUAGGAAUUGAAACGCUGAGUCCUCAGCUGGCGGUACUGUUUGGGAUAGUGGUACAGCCUUCCUGGAGGAAGUGUGUCCCUGGGGUGGGCUUUGGGAAUUUAUAGCUCUUUUCAUUUGCAGUUCCCUCUCUCUACUUCAUGCUUGUGGUUGGAGAUGUGAUUUCUUUGCUUCCUGCUCUGGUUACUAUGCCUGCAACUUACUGUCACGCCAUUCCUGUGUCAUGACGGAUGGGCUCUUAGCCCUCUGAAACCCUAAGCCGGAAUAAAUUUGGGUUUUUUUUUCCCUUUAAGUUGCUGUUGGUCAUAGUGGUUUUUUUUUUGGUUUUGUUUUUGUUUCGAGACAGGGUUUCUCUGUAUAGCCCUGGCUGUCCUGGAACUCACUUUGUAGAUCAGGCUGGCCUCGAACUCAGAAAUCCACCUGCCUCUGCCUCCCGAGGUCAUGGUGUUUUUUAAUUUCUUAUUUUUAAAAUUUAUUUUAUAUGUAUGGGUAUUUUGCUUGCAUUCUCAGAUAUGCGCACCACAUGCAUUCCUGGUGUGGGAUGGAUCCCCCUGAACUGGGGUUGCAGACAGUUGUGAGCUAUCAUGUGGGUGCUGGGAAUUGAACCUGGGUCUUCUAGAGGAGCAGCCAGUGCUUUUAACGGAUGAGCCAUCUAUCCAACCCCCAGUCAUGGCAUUUUAUCAGAGCAACAGAAAAGUAACUAAUACACUCACCAAGUAAAUUUAGGAACAAAAGUGUUACUACUUGUCCAGUAGCAUUUAUUUUAUAUUGUUGAGGAAGUAACAUCUUGCUAUUUUGUUUGCCUGAGGUAACUUCCAACUGCUGGGUUCAAGCAUCCUUCUGCAUCUGCUUCCUGAGUAGCUGGGUCUGUCGGUGCAUGCCACGAUGACUGGCAAGAGAGUAGUCUUAAAGCACUCUCAACAUCAGUAAAAUCCUUGCUCAGACCCACAGCAUUUGUAUAGGUAUAAAUUACAGUCAUCUAUCUGCUGGCAACAAGCUGUUUGCAUUUAAGAUCUACAGAAAUAGCAACAAAAGAAUGAGGCAAGUCAACACAAUUAGAAAUUACAAUAUUUUUUGGAUACCCUUGGAGAUACCUCCCACCCUCUACUUUGGAGACAUCUGGUUGCGAAUGACAGUAAUCCAGAAGAAGGAAGCACACGGCGCUUUUUGAGAGAGGGUUUGCUAGGUUCGGGAGUGGUGUGUGGAUGAGAAGUUGACAGAGAGCUGCACUGUCAAGCAGAUUGAGAGUAGGCUGGGUGGGGGGUAAAGCAGAAAGCUGGGGUAUAGCUCCCCACCAUCUGUGCAAGAGUGUUGCUAAGGUACCACGAACCAAACUCCUAAGGAUCGAAGCUGUCAGAAUGGUCAGAUUGCUUUCUCAUAGCUGGGAAUGCUGGACACGGGACCGCAGAGUAUAGUUCAUAUACAAGGCGUUGCAGAAUGGUCUUUAGUUUGGGAGAUCUUUCAGCUCUUUGAUAAGAAUAGGUUUGAAAGGAGUGAUAGAGAGGCCCAAGUUAACCAUCAGGAAGUGGACCUCAGGUGAAAGUACUAGGCUCAGGCUUGGUGAAUUUUGAGUGGACGGAGGCUGACGACGGGGGAGUCAGGAACCUGGCUGAAGGGUAUACUUAAUCUCUUAUGGGAUAUUUGCUGGUCCAUUGGGACUAGAGGUCUACAGUCUUCUAUAACAAACAUUUUUUGAGAUUGUGUGUUUUAGUUACUUUUGUGAAAAAAAUAUUAUGACCUAGACAAGUUAUAUAUAGAAGGAAGGUUUGAGCAUACGGUUCCAGAAGGUUAGAGUCCGCCAUGACAGGGCAAAGGCAUGUUGGCAGAAGUGGAAAGCUUAGACUGGAACGGCAGGCGUAGUGAUUUAAAACCACAAGCCUGCCCCCUUUCUCCAGUAAGGCCACACCUCCUAAGUAUAUCCAAACAGUGCUACUGACUGGGGACCAAGUAGUCAAACCUUUUAGCCUCUGGGGAAUAUUCUCAUUCAGAUCAAGCCACCAUACCGAAAAUUACUUGUGUCUGGAAUUCAGAAGAUGGCGUGACCAGAGACACUAAAAGGGAAACUGUCACCUCCUGUGAGUAACCCUAUCAGCCUGCAGUACCAGAAACAACCUCAGACCAAUCGUGGUCAGUGUGUGGCUUGGUGGAUGUCUCCUUAGCUGAUUACCGGAAGUUUGCUUUUGGGGACUGGGUGUGACUUGAAAUAAGUUGGUGAUUUCAGGCAGGUUUGGAAUUCAGAGUAUUGUUAUUAAAAGGAAUAAAAGCAGGCAGAGGUGGUAAAUGACAGAUGGUCCAAAGCCCCGCUCUCAUUUGAAAGGAUUUAGAGCAGUAUACUUGGAUCUGAAAAGAAAGAGGGCUUUUGACAGCAUUUCAGUAGCUGUGGGGUUUUAGAGACAGUCCACAAAUAAGGUAUAUAAGCAUUAUUUCAGUCAGUCCGUCUGGCAGAAGUGUUUCACAGACGAUG